rnacentral:lncRNA from 1 species
CUUGCCUCCCAGGGACAAGUAUCAAUGGAAACAGUACCUUGAAGCAUGGAGAUAUGGAGCUGGUUUAGAUUAUCGUCAAGGGGAGUAAACAGCUUCAUUUAAAAGAACUAAGGUCUCCCUUAGAAAAAAGAAGUGUGCAUAGAUAGAUCUACAUGUGUAUAGCUUCCAGUUAGAGCAAAACAUUAUGAGAGUACCGCAGAUAGAAUCACCGAUUGAUCAAGUCUGUUUCACUUUGUAACUUACCCACUUAGCUGAACUGCUUAAGUGAAUCGUGCUUUGUAACGUCAUUGUCCACAUCAUUUCUCAAAUAAUGCUGAAUCAAGCUGAGGAUGGUUUGAUUCGUGUUGAAGGAUGUAUCAA